rnacentral:antisense_RNA from 1 species
GGUGUUUGUAAUAACAGUUUAUUUCUAUCUUUGAUAUCGCCACCAAUAUGGUACGGCAAGCCACAAUUAGCAAAAGAGAUAAAUGGACCACGUUCAAACAUGAUUAUUUCUGCGGUUUCACUCAAACGACGUGCUCUAGCUGCCGCUGAAGCUCCCCCUGCAACACCAC